GGGUAGAAUAUACCAAGGCGUAAGAGUGAAACCUGGUUAAGGAACUCGGCAAAUUAGCCCCGUAACUUCGGAAGAAGGGGUGCCUGCAGCGAUGCAGGCCGCAGAGAAAUGGCCCAACCGACUGUUUAUCAAAAACACAGCACUCUGCAAAGACGCAAGUCGAAGUAUAGGGUGUGACACGUGACCAAUGCCGAAAGAUUAAGGCAAGGGGUUAGCCGCAAGGCGAAGCUCUGAACCCAAGUCCCGGUGAAUGUCGGCCGUAACUAUAACGGUCCUAAGGUAGCGAAAUUCCUUGUCGGGUAAGUUCCGACCUGCACGAAUCGUGAAACGAGUUGGGCACUGUCUCAACCAGGCGCUCAGUGAAAUUGUAGUGGCGGUGAAGAUGCCGCCUACCCGCAGAAGGACGGAAAGACCCUAUAGACCUUAACUGUAAGCUGUCAUUGUUUCUUCGGUUUUAAUGCUCAGAGUAAGUGGGAGACGCUGAAGACGCCCUUUAGGGGGCGUCGGAGUCAUCAAUGAGACACCACCCUUUGAAACUGGAGGAUCUAACCCUGAGCCGUGAAUCCGGCCAGAGGACCGUGUCAGCCGGUCAGUUUUACUGGGGCGGUAUCCUCCCAAAGAGUAACGGAGGAGCGCGAAGGUGGGCUCAGCCCGGUUGGCAACCGGGUGUCGAGUGCAUGGGCAUAAGCCCGCCUAACUGUGAGACCUACAAGUCGAGCAGAUGCGAAAGCAGGCCCAAGUGAUCCGGCGGUAGAAAGUGGAAUUGCCGUCGCUCAACGGAUAAAAGGUACCUUAGGGAUAACAGGCUGAUCACGCCCAAGAGUUCAUAUCGACGGCGUGGUUUGGCACCUCGAUGUCGGCUCGUCGCAUCCUGGGGCUGGAGAAGGUCCCAAGGGUCCGGCUGUUCGCCGGUUAAAGCGGCACGCGAGCUGGGUUCAGAACGUCGCGAGACAGUUCGGUCCUCUAUCCUCUGUGGGCGUUGGAAAAUUGAGGGGUUCAGACCUUAGUACGAGAGGACCGGGUCUGACGCACCACUGGUGCAUCGGUUGUACUGUCAAGUGCAUGGCCGAGUAGCUAAGUGCGGACGGGAUAAGCGCUGAAAGCAUCUAAGCGCCAAGCCCAUCCCAAGAUGAGUUUUCCCUAUAGGUUCGUGGAAGACCACCACGUUGAUAGGUCGCAGGUGUAAGUGCAGCAAUGUAUUGAGCCAAGCGAUACUAAUCACCAAUAGACUUCAUCAU
rnacentral:rRNA from 1 species